UACGAAGGGGGCUAGCGUUGCUCGGAAUUACUGGGCGUAAAGCGUGUGUAGGCGGUCCUCUAAGUCGGGUGUGAAAGCCCUGGGCUCAACCCAGGAAGUGCACUCGAAACUGGAGGGCUAGAGUAUCGGAGAGGUUGGUGGAAUUCUCGGUGUAGAGGUGAAAUUCGUAGAUAUCGAGAGGAACACCGGUGGCGAAGGCGGCCAACUGGACGAAUACUGACGCUGAGACACGAAAGCGUGGGGAGCAAACAGG
rnacentral:rRNA from 1 species